rnacentral:lncRNA from 1 species
AAAGGGCAGACAUCUUCGGGCCAGUGGCCAUGCUUCAUCACUUGAUCAUGCUUUUGUUUGUAUGAGUGUGGCUGUUCAGUAAAGCAGAUAGAUCCAUGUGCUUAUGUGCAUUCUAUGUGGUAUUCAAAGAAGUGGAUUUUUUAGAAUAAUUUUUGUCCCUUGUUUUUAAGACAGAGGAAAGCGGUAUUUCCGUUUUCUCUUUGUUCUCUCGUGCUAUGAUGAUAUUAUUGAAGACAUUUUUAAAAAGUGAACUACUUUUUUUCCAUUUUAAUUAGCACAGUGGAAGUGGUGACAUCAUUUCAGCUGCUGCGUUUAUUUUAGGAAAGUCUAAGAGAUAUGUAGAAGUAGUUUUAAGCCUUGUCAUCAACAUAGACUUCUAAGAGCCCAGAAUGUUCUGAAUAUGUUUAUUUUUAAUUUAUACAAAAAACCCUCCCAUGAAUGAAGCCCUUAAUUUUAUGAAUAAGAAAAAGUGGGAUUCAUAAUACACUGUACUGCCUUUCAGAAUAUAUUAGAUUCUGGACAUUUAUUCCAAUAGAAAGCCUGGGGUGGCCUGGAACUCCACAUAUGACAGAGGCUAGCCCGGAACCCAUGAUUCUCUACUUUUCCUUCCUCCUGUUCUAGAGCGGUGCGACUCUGGGCAUGGUCCUCCUCUCUUCAGUCACAUAUACUGCCAUGGGCAUGAAAUCCAACACCAAUUACGGUAUCACAAAAGGAACCUUUUCCUUAUCUGUCUUGUGACUCUCCCUACGAGAUUACAGAGCUUGACACUGGAAAUGGAAUGUUGAUCAGUAAUCCCAUGAGAAACUUAUGUGUCAGUAGAACUUUGAAUAUCCCAAAGCUCCAUUUGUAUCCGUAGCUCAUUUGUCAGAUAACCCAGUGUAAUGCAGGUUCAUAUGACCCUGCAUUUGUAGCCUCAAGGAGAGCGAGGGAAAUAAAUAGUGAGGGGAGCCAAAGGAGAGGUGUGUCCUCUAGCCUGGUUCUGUCUUGAGGCAGAGUAUCCAGAUUCCACUUCUGUGCCCACAGUGUGUUUGGCUUCCUUGCCUCAUAUCUAGUCUUCAGUGUGUCAGAGCAGACUGACCUGUUUCUUUGUCAAAUUGUCAAGUUAUGUGUAACAAAAUUUUUAUAAGCUGAUUUCCUCUUUCAGGUGAGAAAAUGCAUUCUUAUCUCUAUGCCAUCUACUCUGCUGAGCUGAGUACCAUUCUUAAUCAUGUCUCUACAGAAACUUCUAGGAAUUUUUUUUCCCUUUCUUUAAAUGU